GAUUUGACUUUGGAGUAGAAAACGGAUGCAAAAUAGCAUUUUUUUUUUUGUGUCAUAUAUGAAGAUGUUCUGCUGCCAAGCUCUGUUGCGAGUUUAUCUAGAAAUGGUCAUAAUUUCUGGACACAGUGUUACCAGAAGUGUACUGGAAAACCAGAAAUAGUCCAGGGAAAUGCAACCAAAGUGAUACUGGAGAAGGCUGCAGGUUCAGUGCAUGGACAAUGCGUCUUUGUUUUGCAUGUGUCUGCAGGUCAAGGCAUCAAACCUCAAGAAAUCUCUGACCACUGAAAGACGCAAGGAGAUAUUUCUGAUCCAUAUUCAGCUCCCACCAAAUGAAGUACCUGAAUUAGGAGUGUGAUUGUGCUGAAAUUGCUGGGAGCGAAGAGGAACCUUCACCUACAACCUUUACAGAAGGGUCUGCUCAUCCACACCGCUGCGUCCUGCUGCUGUCAGGUCCCUGCAUCCAGGAGCCCCUUCCCCGUUUUGUCACCUUCACUCACACCAACCGGGGCAGCUCGCAACAGUCGGCGUGAACCUGACGUCCGGACCAGCCCUGGUGGGUGGAUGAGGGCAGAUCCACAGGCUGAGCCCCGGCCUGGUGACAUGGAGCUGCUGCCUUGCGAGGCAGGGCUGCUUCGUGAUGGCUCUGAAACCUCCAAGAGAGCAAACCUGCAUUCUGCAAACCACCCCCAUUGUUCCGCCUAUAGCUGGUGUCCUAACAUACCUUUAGCCUGUCAUAUAAAUUAUUGACCAUGUUCCUGAACACACUAAAAUAAAUCCAUCGCUGUGCU